GACGAACGCUGGCGGCGUGCCUAACACAUGCAAGUCGAGCGAAUGAAGUUCCUUCGGGAACGGAUUUAGCGGCGGACGGGUGAGUAACACGUGGGCAACCUGCCUCAUAGAGGGGAAUAGCCUUCCGAAAGGGAGAUUAAUACCGCAUAAGAUUGUAGUUUCGCAUGAAACAGCAAUUAAAGGAGCAAUUCGCUAUGAGAUGGGCCCGCGGCGCAUUAGCUAGUUGGUGAGGUAACGGCUCACCAAGAAGAAAGCACGUAGCCGACCUGAGAGGGUGAUCGGCGACAUUGGGACUGAGACACGGCCCAGACUCCGACGGGAGGCAGCAGUGGGGAAUAUUGCACAAGUGGGGAAACCCUGAUGCAGCAACGCCGCGUGAGUGAUGACGGUCUUCGGAUUGUAAAGCUCUGUCUUCAGGGACGAUAAUGACGGUACCUGAGGAGGAAGCCACGGCUAACUACGUGCCAGCAGCCGCAGUAAAAC
rnacentral:rRNA from 1 species